CCCCUAGAUGUUCUGGGCCGCACGCGCGCUACACUGAACAGUUCAACAAGUCUUAACCUUGGCCGAUAGGUCUGGGUAAUCUUUGAACGCUGUUCGUGAUUGGGAUAGACCUUUGCAAUUAUGGGUCUUCAACGAGGAAUUCCUAGUAAACGCAAGUCAUCAGCUUGCAUUGAUUACGUCCCUGCCCUUUGUGCACACCGCCCGUCGCACCUACCGAUUGAAUGGUCCGGUGAAAUCUCGGGACGGCGGCUUGGUCGCUUGCGUCCGACUGCUGAAACUUGAUUAAACCAUAUCAUUUAGAGGAAGGUGAAGUCGUAACA
rnacentral:rRNA from 1 species